GCGGGAGGGGAUGCAACAACCGAACUUGAUGAUGGGGAGAAGGUCUUUGAUGGCUUCGACGCCAAGCAGCAGUAGCCGAUACUUGAAUGCAGAACCGUGGUUGAGACCACUUGCCAACCAAGUGAUCAGGAGCAGCAAGGUCGAUGCCUUCUUUCGGAGCACGAAGUUCAGCUUUAUUAGCAUCCAUGCAAUUGGCAAAGGUGCGGGCAACCAAUAAGAUAACGCCGCAAUCUGAAUUUGUAGCCACUGCACCGACGCUGGCUUCC